UUUUAAUGUCUGAAGUAUUUCUAGACAUGUUUUAGCGUCGAGAAAACAAACAUGUGCCCCGCAAGUGUACUCAAUUAGGUGAACCCACUCGAAACCACUUAAAAUCACAAAACUCCCAACUCGUCAUAUUCUUAACCCUAACUAAUCUGUAUAUUUUUUUCUUCAUUCGAUCGAAAUCUGCUCAGCGAUUCAUGGAGUUAUGGCCUAGAUUUUGAAUUCAGAUCUUCUUCCUCCUUGCGCUUCUCAAAUACUAUCACACCAAUUUAAAUAUCUUGCCGAAAAUUACUUUCUUUCUCUCAGAUCUGAUUGUUUGCAUUGAAAAUUGAUAUGCGACAGCUAUUGCUCUUAAUCUCUUCACAGAUUCUGCAAUGUGAGGCAUCAACAUAAGCCUAAGCAACAAUGUCGAUCAACAAAGGAAUCUUCAGGUUUAUCUUAAACUUUGUUAAUUCUUGUUGCAGGCUUGUCAUCUUUAGACUUGAAAGCGUAAAAGAUGAAGAAACCAUAAUUGUGGCUUUUAACUAGACCUGUAAUGAGGAUAGCCAAGAAGAAAUAAGAAAUCAAACUUGAGAAUUUUGAUAAUAUUGGCAACUGAUGUCUUGUCUUCUGAGUGUAUGGAUGCCUUUAUACUUUUGGGUCAAAAGAAUAUGUGACAUCCAUGUAUGAAUACUAAGAAACGGUGGAAAAGGGCUGACAUCUUACACUGCAAUAUUUCAAGGAUGGACUCAUGGAAGAAAGAUUUCAAUUAGUGAUUCGGAAUUUGUUCCACUACAACUAGUCACGAAUUAAUUAUAAGUUGGAAUUAUAUUUGUUGUAAUAGAAAACUCAUUACUACGAAAUAUGAGUUAUUGUACA